rnacentral:rRNA from 1 species
CUACGUAGGGUGCGAGCGUUGUCCGGAAUUACUGGGCGUAAAGAGCUCGUAGGUGGUUUGUCGCGUCGUCUGUGAAAUUCCGGGGCUUAACUCCGGGCGUGCAGGCGAUACGGGCAUAACUUGAGUACUGUAGGGGAGACUGGAAUUCCUGGUGUAGCGGUGAAAUGCGCAGAUAUCAGGAGGAACACCGGUGGCGAAGGCGGGUCUCUGGGCAGUAACUGACGCUGAGGAGCGAAAGCAUGGGGAGCGAACAGGAUUAGAUACCCUGGUAGUCCAUGCCGUAAACGGUGGGCGCUAGGUGUAGGGGUCUUCCACGACUUCUGUGCCGUAGCUAACGCAUUAAGCGCCCCGUUUGGGGAGUACGGCCGCAAGGCUAAAACUCAAAUGAAUUGACGGGG